rnacentral:lncRNA from 1 species
CAGAGAGAUCUAGAAUCCCACGGGCUCAGCUUGAGGGGCUGAGGCCAGUCUGUUCAUUGCACCUGAAGACAAAGGGCUAUGGCACCCACUGGGCUCCUCCUCCCUCCUCCUGGGGCUCUGGGCAGGGCCAUCAACCCCCUUGCCUCUGCAGAGGUAGUGGAGAGAACCUGAGUUUUGCUGACAGAGAGGUGUGCCUGCCUAUUCUGGAGCUGCCACUGCCCAAAGGAACAAAGUCAAUUCUCUAAACCUCGAUUUUCUUUUCUGGAAAUUGGUGCAACAAUAUCUAUCCCAAGAAACUGUUGAAAGAUUAGAAAUGUUAUUUGUACAGCAUCAGGCACUUCAUAAAUGUCAUGGCUGGCAGGGCAGAGUAGCGACCUGCCCGGAGGCUGUCCCUCUUUGUGGGGGAGAAGGCACAGCAUGUUUUACUUGGUCCUGCUGGUGCUGGUGGGAACCACCACCUGCAGAUUAGCUCCAGCGCGAACCCCAGCCUUUUUUGUUAUACUCUGAGGCUCACCUGAGGCUCUGUGAUAAAGGAUGGACCACAUAUUGUGUCUUCAACAAAGACCAUCUCAGUGACGCAUGGGAAAGAAGUGUACCAGGUGGGAGCUGGAGACAGAAGAGAGUCAGACCAGGAGAUGUGAGGAUGUCAGAGUGAUGCGAUGUGGGAAGGACGAGGCCUGAAGUUGCUGACUUUGAGGAUGGAGAGAGGAGUCACAAGUCAAGGAAUGUGGACAACCUGUAGAAGAUGGAAAAGGAGGAGAGUCACUGUCUAAGGUCACAGAGCCAGCUCAGAGUGCUCCGCUGCUCCUGGGGUUGCAGAGGGGCUACAGAGGGGCUGCAGAGGGUAUGAGCCAAGUUGGUGGUUGGCGUUUCUUGAUAACACUCAGUAAGUGCCAGGCUAGAUGCUAAGAGCUUCCCUGCAUCGUCAAUGGCUCUCACAACCUCCUUUAAAAGAAGGAGGCUUAUGGGACCACCUCAUACACAUUAAGAUGGCUACUAUCAAAAAAACAACAACCAGAAAAUGACAAGUGUUGGCAGGAUGUGGAGACAUUGGAAGCUGGUGCUUUGCUGGUGGGAAAGUAGAAGUUGCAGCAGCUAUGGAAAAUGCUCCAACGGUCCCUCAAAAGGCUGAAAUCAGAGACCUCCGUGGUGUUUCAGAGGACAGGAGGGUGUGCAGAGGACGCCCCAGAAAUCUUUCCCACAGGAGAAAGGCUCAGAAGACCAAGCCAGCUACCCUACAGUCACCAAAGGCCCCCAUGUGGUGGAGCAGGGGAGCAGGGCAGCUGGGUCCUGAAGGAGAAGGUUCCUGAACUGCCUGGGGACAGCAAAAAUGAUGACUUUUCUAAAGCCCACCUGGAGCUGCUUGGAAGCAGAUCCUGAAUACGUGGCUCUAGAAGGCAAGACCCUGUGACUCACAGGGCCUUGGGCAUCCUGCAUCUCAGGAAUGCCAGUGUUCAUGGACAGCAGACUGCCCGAGGUGUAAUCGGUGUCUUCCCGGUGCUAGCUGUUUACUUGCACACAUCUAGGCAAACUUCUCAGCCUCCCCUGGCCUCCAUUACAGGAAAACAGGAAUUCUCUCCUGCCCCUACCUCACAGGAUGGGCCUAGGACCAGCUGAUGUGCUGGUUAACACAGACCUUUCCAGAGAGACGUGCUCAUCAGAUACAAGGCAGGCAUAUCCUCAUCAUUUUGAGUACAUUGACAAUUAGCCCAAGGAGAACCCGCAGGGCUGGGACCACCCUAAUGUGGCACAAAGGGAAGCCAGUGGAGAGCCAACUGAGAGCUCUGGCCUGUCAGGUUGUAUAGAAAUGUCACAGAGAGAGUAGCUCUCAUAGCUGACAACACCCUGUGGGGGGCUGGGGCUGAGGCAAGGAACAGAGAGGAGAAACUCCUUAAGCAAAGGAUCUAGUAGUGUCUUUCUCUCAAGACAGGCCUUUCAAGGAGCAACUUGCUCCACACCAGACUUUUUCUCUUUUCCAAAAGCUCAAGCUCCUCUUCCUCACGAUGACAGCCAUGGUGGUCUCCAGCUGACACUGUAUUCACUCUAGGAAUGACUUCAAGGUGGGUUUCCUGAUGGCUCAUGAAGGUAGCUUCGCUAAACCACACACUGUAAAUCAAGUACAUUUUUCCAGCCAUUUGCAUUGAAAAUGGCAGGCAUUUGGCCACACACUUUGUGGAGGGAUGCACUUGUCGGUUGCCUUCGAAGAAGAGCAGAGUGAGGAGCGCUGGGAGGACGAGAGAGCACGGGCUGAGCAGCAUAGGGGGAAGGACACCAAGCUCAAGAGGCAGCUACAUGAGAUAGUGAAGAAGGACAGCCGUCUUGGGAUUCCUCUGCAGGGCUAUCAAGUUAAUUCCACGUGCUGAGGUCAUGGAGUGUCACGUGGGGUACUAGAUUGCCGGUGGUGGAGACAGAAGACGGAGGUGACACAGAAGCAUAAAACAACACUCCUACUCACGAAGAAUUCACCCAGGAAGGCAGAAGAAAUAAAGAACAGAAAUAAAGGAAGGAAUACAUGAACAGGAAGGAUUUUCCUUUUCCCAGAGAAGACCUGAUUCUUGUAAAGGGCUUUAACAUGUUCAAAUACAUGACGGGUUUCGUCUUCACAGCGUUUUUUUUUUUUUUUUUU